rnacentral:rRNA from 1 species
GAUGAACGCUGGCGGCGUGCCUAACACAUGCAAGUCGAACGGGGAAUAUCUUAUUGAGCCUUCGGUGGAUUUGAUUUAUUUCUAGUGGCGGACGGGUGAGUAACGCGUGGGUAACCUUGCUUAUACAGGGGGAUAAAAGUCAGAAAUGGCUGCUAAUACCGCAUUAGCGCCCAGAGCUGCCUGGCCCAGUGUGAAAAACUCAGUUGGUAUAAGAUGGACCCGCGUUGGAUUAGCUAGUUGGUGGGGUAAGGGCCUACCAAAGCGACGAUCAAUAGCCGGUGUGAGGAGGUGAACCGCCACAAUGGGAACGAGACAAGGCCCAAACUCCUAAGGGAGGGAGGCGUGGGGGAUAUUGGACAAUGGGGGGAAACCCGAAGGAGCGAAGCCGCGGGAGAGAAGAAGUAUUUCGGUAUGUAAAGCUCUAUCAGCAGGGAAGAUAAUGACAGGACCUGAAUAAGAAGCCCCGGGUAAAUACGUG